rnacentral:rRNA from 1 species
AUACGGAAGGUCCGGGCGUUAUCCGGAUUUAUUGGGUUUAAAGGGAGCGCAGGCGGAGAUGCAAGCGUGACGUCAAAUUUCGGGGCUCAACCCCGUCUCGCGUCGCGAACUGCGUCCCUUGGUUGCGGGAAGGGGAGGCGGAACUCGUGGUGUAGCGGUGAAAUGCAUAGAUAUCACGAAGAACUCCGAUCGCGAAGGCAGCCUUCCGGCCCGUCAACGACGCUCAUGCUCGAAGGUGAGGGUAUCAAACAGGAUUAGAUACCCUGGUAGUCCGCACAGUAAACGAUGGACACCCGCGGUUUGGCCUGUAUGGCUGAGCCGCCAAGCGAAAGCGUUAAGUGUCCCACCUGGGGAGUACGCCGGCAACGGUGAAACUCAAAGGAAUUGACGGGG